rnacentral:misc_RNA from 2 species
AACGCACAUUGCGCCCCCUGGUAUUCCGGGGGGCAUGCCUGUCCGAGCGUCAUUACAACCCUCAAGCCUAGCUUGGUGUUGGGCUCCGCCGCCUGGCGGGCCCUAAAGUCAGUGGCGGUGCCGUCCAGCUCCGAGCGUAGUAACUCUUCUCGCUCUGGAGGCCUGGGCGCGUGCUUGCCAGCAACCCCCCAAUUUUAUCAGGUUGACCUCGGAUCAGGUAGGGAUACCCGCUGAACUUAA